rnacentral:lncRNA from 1 species
CGUAGACGAUAACCGAGCAUGAACACCGUCGUUGUGAGUGGAAUAUACAAAACCUAUUUUCAUAGUUAUAUGAUAGUAAAGCAUGUUUGCGAAAUAAGUAUUUUAAAUGUUCUGAUUUAAUGAUUCCCUCGAAAUGGAUUUUAUUCACGUAUUGGUAUUUUAUUAAAAUGUUUGGUUAAUGAUUCUGCGUAUCGACUUUGAAUAAAGUAUGAUAGUAUUUUAAAGACAAGAAAAGUGGAUUCAAAUGUGGUAUAAUUUAAAGUAUGGUUAAAAGGUAUGUGAAUAUGAGUAUAGUGAUUGUUUUUUAAAUCAUUAGACAGUACCCUUUCCUCCAGAUACAGUGAUACAUAUGAGAUGAGAGGCCUUCGGGACCCGUCUGAACACACAUAAAGGCUUUGGGCUGUGUAUCUGGGCGAUUUUGCCUUUUGGGGGCAUAUGCAUGUGGUAUGAUGAUUACAGAGAUACAGACAGAUAUUGAGAUACAGAUGAUACAUAUGAGAUGCAGGCCUUUGGGGCCCGUAUGAGUACACACAGAGGUUUUGGGUCGUGUGCUUGAGCGCUUUUGUCCUUUGGGGACUAGAUUAUGCAUGCACAUAUUUGAUGAGAUAUGAUAAGAUAUGAAACGGUAUUUCCCUAUCUAUCCGUGUAGCUCCGGGGCGUGAUGGUACCCAGAUAGUACGUCAUUGCCCAUCCGUUGAGGUCCGGAUAUGAUGAGAUUAUUUCCCCGGCUACUUGUUUAGUGAUGAUUUUCAGUCUUGUGUAUUCUAUAUGAUAUUGUGAUAUGAUUUCCAUGAUUAUUACGUAUGAUCGUUAUAUAUGUUUUUCAUGGUUAGUAAUCUGGUUUAAGUGUUAAAUGAUUUAUUACUGGUUUCUCGCUUAUGGUUUGAUGAAAUCGUGUUUGAAAAUGAUAUGAUUAUUUCUUUUAAAGUAAGAAUUAAUUUUUAAAAACUACUAUCCACUCACUGAUCUCACUGAGUUUUAAACUCACCUCGUUUUUAUUAUAUUUUCCCCCCCACCAGGAGGUUGCAGGUACACCAGACCGACCCAGCGACUGUAAAUAUAUUUUGAGUCUUGGCCUCGUGAUGGUGUUAGAAGAUAUAAAUGUUUUCGUUAGGACAUCUUGAUCAUCUUGUUCUUUUGGGAUUGUAUAAUUUUGUUAUAUUAUUCUUUCGGGAUUAAGAAUAAACUGAGAUAUUAAUAUUAGUUAUAAUAUUAUCUUUUCAGAUUCUGGAGAUAUAAAACUAAGCAUUUUGGUUGAGGAUGUUAUUACUGGAGUUUGUUGUAUAUUGAAUUAUAUUGGGAGUGUUAUAUUCAUAUUUGUAGAUUGGGAGUGUUAUAUAUAUAAAGGAGACUCUGCCGAAUUUUCGGCAGAAUCCUUACUAAUUAGAUUAUUAUCAAGUUCGUUUUGAUGAGACUAGAUUGACUUGCCUAGGGGGGAUUCGGGGCGGGUCGUUUCAGUUGGUAUCAGAGCAUGGUUUUAGAUUCUGUAGACUUUACUAUCUUAAUAAGAAUAAGUUUUAUCUUUAUUAAAGUUAGAAUUUAUAUCUUGUAUGCACCAUCAUGCUUCGUCGUAGCAGUAGACGUGGUCGUGGCCGUACUAGGCCAAUAGCUGAGUUGACUUCUGGUAGUGUACCUACGGGGAAAGUGAACCCGCGAAUGAGGGGGUAGUUGAAUCCUCCACGCAUGAAAUCGCACAACAGUCACUGAGGAAUGCCCUAAAUAUCGAGCACUCAUUUGAUAAGUUGGCUUAGAUCAUGGCUACAGUUGUGCAAAAUCAGACUCAAGCGCAUGUCAGUAACACAAACACUAUUGAGUGAGUGAGGAGUUUAGGGGCGAGGACCUUUAAUGGUUCUGGAGAACUACCUGAGGCUGAGUCAUGGUUUGUUAAGUUAGAGCAAAGUUUUGACGUGAUGAAGUGUUCGGAGGAUGACAGACUAUUCGUCGCCACUUUCCUGCUCGAGGAUAAAGCUUACCAUUGGUGGCAGAUAGUGGAGAGACGAUAUCAGGGGCAUGCUGCGAUUACUUGGGCUAUUUUCCAUAAGGAAUUCUAUGAUCAUUAUUUUCCUGUUGUAUAUCAGGAUAUUAAACGGAGUGAAUUCUUUCGGUUAGUUCAGGGAUCUCUGACAGUUGAGGAGUAUGAGAAGAAAUUUUUAGACCUCUCUAGAUUUGCUACAUCUGUAGUCGGUGAUGAGAGAGAGAGAUGCAGACGGUUUGAGGAUGGCCUCCGAUUUGAGAUUCGCACCACCGUGACUGCAUCGCGAUAUACUGAGUUUGGAGAGGUAGUUGAGGCAGCUAGGAGAGUAGAGCACAGUAUUUUGUAAGGACGUGGAGUUCAUGCACUGAAGCAGAAAGCGUAGCCAGAGCUGGGCAGAGGGUGGCUCUAGUAGUAGGCAGCCCAAGAGAGGGGGUAUUCCUACAUGUUAUUCUGAUAGUACGCAAAGGAGUCAGGGUACAAGCUUCAGAGGAGACGCGAGACAGACUAUCAGUCAUAGCCCAGUGCAACCAUCAGUAGGGAGUAAUACCAGGAAUUAGGGACAGUACGACCGCAGUGGUGGGGGAUAUCGUGAUGAUCGUUCUAGGAGUGUCCAGCAGACUUCUUGCCCUUCAUGUGGUAGGAAUCAUCAGGGCCAGUGUCGCGUUGGAGACAGAGUUUGUUAUUUGUGUGGUCAGCCUGAACACAUCAGGAGAUUCUGCCCUACUUUAUCUCAGGGUGAUAGCUCUGUACGAGGGACAGCCUCACGGUAUCGGCCUUACUUUGGCCAGGCUCAGGGUCAGAGAGGAGUGUAGACAAAAGUUUCUACAUCUACCUUUAGGAGUCAGACGACUGCUCCAGGUCAGAGAGGGCAGCCUGGUCGACCUCAUACUCAGGCUCGAGUUUUUGCUUUGACGCAAUAGGAGGCACGUGUUGCACUAGAAGUUAUUAUGGGUAUAUUAUCUAUCAUUGGCCGCGAGGCUCAUAUUCUUAUUGAUCUUGGAUCCACACACUCUUUCGUUUCCCAUACUUUUACUAUGCACAUAGGGCGAGAGCCCGAACUGUUAGAUUAUGGUUUAGUUGUUCGUACACCUACUGGAGAAUCAUUACUUGCUGAGAGUGUGUAUCAAGAUUGUAUGAUUGGAAUAGGUGAACAUGAAUUUGAGGUGAAUUUGAUUUCCUUAGGCAUUUAUGACUUUGAUGUUAUUUUGGGCAUGGAUUGGCUUGAAUUUCAUUAUGCUACGGUGGAUUGUUUCAAAAAGGAAGUUUGUUUAAAAAGCCAGGGAAAACUGAAGUGAAAUUCUGUGGGGAGCACAAAGUUCUACCUUCAUGUGUUAUAUCUUCCAUUAGUGCAAGACGGUUGCUAAGAAAAGAAUGCUCAUCUUAUUUAGCUCAUGUGAUAGAUACAGAAGCUCGAGAAUUGAGAUUGGAGGAUAAUGCAGUAGUCAAAGAAUUUCCAAAUGUAUUUCCAGACGAACUUCGUAGGAUGCCACCUAAUAGGAAAGUUGAGUUUUCUAUUGACUUAGUCCCUGGAACAUCUCCUAUAUCUAUGGCACCAUACAGGAUGGCUCCAGCAGAGUUGCAGGAACUGAAGGUUCAAUUGCAAGAGUUGGUGGAGAAAGGGUUUAUUAGACCUAGUGUGUCCCCGUGGGGAGCUCCAGUCUUGUUUGUUAAGAAAAAUGAUGGGACUUUUAGACUCUGCAUUAACUACAGGCAGUUGAACAAAGUUACGGUACGCAAUAAGUAUCCAUUUCCAUGCAUUGAUGACUUGUUUGAUCAACUCCAUGAGGCGAAAGUAUUUUCUAAGAUCAAUUUGCACUCAGGUUACCAUCAGCUUAGAAUUAAAGACGUCGAUGUUCCGAAAACGGCAUUUAGAACCCGUUAUGGACACUAUGAGUUCUUAGUGAUGCCAUUUGGGUUGACAAAUGCUCCAGCUGCUUUUAUAGACCUUAUGAAUAGGGUAUUUCGCCCUUAUCUAGAUCGAUUUGUGAUUGUAUUCAUUGAUGAUAUAUUGGUGUAUUCCCAAAGUGAGGAGGUGCAUGCAGAGCAUUUGUGGACUAUUUUACAGACUUUGAAGCAGAAGCAGUUGUAUGCCAAGUUCAGCAAGUACGAGUUCUGGUUGGACAUAGUAGUAUUUUUGGGCCAUCUGAUAUUAGCAUAAGGUAUUUAUGUUGAUCCUCAAAGGAUUGAAGCAGUUGUGAAAUGGGAACGACCUACAAAUGUCACAGAGGUUCAGAGUUUUCUUGGAUUGGCUGGUUAUUAUCGUAGAUUUGUGGAGGGAUUCUCCAAGAUUGCUACUCAUCUGACACAGUUAACCAGAAAGAAUGCUAAGUUUAAGUGAGAUGAUGAUUGUGAAAAGAGUUUUCAAGAACUUAAGACAUGUUUGACCUCAGCACCAGUUCUUACACUUCCAUCUGGUAAUGAAGGAUUUGUGGUAUACAACGAUGCCUCUAGGCAGAGAUUAAGUUGUGUGUUAAUGUAGCAUGGGAAAGUGGUGGCUUAUGCUUCUAGACAACUUAAGAAACAUGAACAAAACUACCCAACACAUGACCUAGAACUAGCAGCAGCGGUGUUUGCACUCAAGACAUGGAGGCAUUACUUAUAUGGGACAACGUGUCAGAUUUUCACUGAUCAUAAGAGCCUGAAGUAUUUGUUUACUCAGAAGAAGUUGAAUUUGAGACAGAGGAGAUGGAUUGAGUUAAUUAAGGAUUACGAUUGCACUAUCGAUUAUCAUCCGGGUAAAGCAAAUGUGGUAGCUGAUGCACUAAGUAGAAAGUCGUCCAGCUCUCUAGCUCACUUGCGAGUGAAAUAUGUGCCUCUGUUGAUCGAGUUGAGAUCUUUGGGAGUCAAGUUGAACGCUGACAAUUGUGGAGCUUUGAUAGCUAAUUUUCAAGUUAGGCCGACUUUGAUUGACAAAGUUCACCAUAUGCAAGCUCAGGACCCACAGUUAAUGAAGUUUAAAUAGGAUGUGCAGAAAGGUUUACGAACCGAUUUUAUGGUGAGAGAUGAUGGAAUCUUAGUAAUGGGUAAUAGACUAUGUGUACCUGAUAUUAAGAAUCUGAAAGAAGAAAUUAUGGAAUAAGCUCACUAUUCAGCAUAUGUGAUGCAUCCUGGUAGUACGAAGAUGUAUCGCACCCUGAGGGAUCAUUAUUGGUGGCAGGGCAUGAAGAGAGAGAUAGUAGAAUUUGUUUCUCAAUGUUUAGUUUGUCAGCAGAUUAAGGCUGAACACCAGAGGCCUGCAGGGUGUUCUUAACCGCUUCCUAUUCCUGAGUGGAAGUGGGAGCACAUCACUAUGGAUUUUGUAGCAGGACUUCCACGUACUCAGAAAGGACAUGAUAGUGUUUGGGUGGUUGUUGAUCGAUUUACAAAAUCUGCUCACUUCUUACCAUUCAAAACCACAUAUUCGAUGGACAAGUUAGGGAGUAUUUAUGUGGCUAAGAUAGUUCGACUUCACGGAGUACCCGUGUCCAUAGUUUCAGAUAAAGAUUCCCAGUUUACUUCUAAGUUCUGGACCAGUUUGUAAAAUGCUUUAGGCACCAAGUUGAAUUUUAGUACAACUUUUCAUCCACAAACUGAUGGACAGUCAGAGCGUAUUAUUCAAACUCUGGAGGAUAUGUUGUGAGCUUGUGUUAUGGAGUUUAAAGGUAAUUGGGACAAUCAUUUACCUCUGAUGGAGUUUGCUUACAACAACAGCUAUCAAGCUAGUAUCGAGAUGGCACCAUAUGAGGCUUUAUAUGGUAGGAAAUACAGGACUCCAGUAUGUUGGGAUGAGGUUGGUGAGCGGAGGUUAUUCGGUCCAGAACUAGUCCAGGAUACUAACGAGUGAAAUACAAGUGUGCAACCCAAGAGGGGGGUGAAUUGGUAUUCUAAAAAUUAUUUGAUUCUAAAACAAAUUAUCAUGCAAAUCUAAAAUGAAUUUAAUGGAAUAACAAUUAAAUUAAUUACAAUAUAAAAAUAUAAGGGAAGAGAGAUUCAAACACGAAGAUUUUUACGUGGUUCGGCCAACCUCGCCUACGUCCACGCCUCCAAGCUUUCCGGGCUUGAGGAUUUCACUAAGCAAGCCUCCAAGGCUUCAAAUGCUUACACUUGACUUCCAAGGUGUCAAUGAACCUUUACAACAAGAGAUUAUCCUCAAUUGUUUAACCUAAGUGUAUCCCAACACUUACAAUCACUCAAAGUAAAAGAUUAAAAAUUAUUUUUCUCUCACACAAUAUUUAAGAUUACAAAUCAAUGCCCAAUGUGUGAAUAGAUGAAGUAAGAAUGUAUUUUAAAGCUCUAUGAAGAUUGUAUUCUCGAAUAUAAGCUCAAUGGUCGUGUUGUGAUCAAUCUUGUUUGAAUUUGAAUGAGCUUAUUUAUAGUUGGAGCUGAAAACUAGUCGUUAUUGACUUUCUGCUCAUUGUCGGAUCGCCGUUAACUAUAUGUCGGAUCCGUUUGACUGGUCAAUAUGACCGUUGGGCUGAAUUUUCAAAUUGUCGGAUCGCCGUUAUCUAUAUGUCGGAUCGCCGUUAGUGUCCAGAGACUAAUCUUCAAUUCUGUUCGAUGUCGGCGAGCUGUUAUCAAGAUGUCGGAUCGCCAUUUUCUACAGUAACUGCUACAGUGAACUAUUUUUACAAAAUUAUAGUUUGACCCUAAAACUUUGUAAAAUUAUAUUAUGACCCAAAACUUUAUAAAACUUGUCAAUUAGGUCCAUUUUCAGGAUUUUAAGCAAUACUUGUUAUUAUCAAAAAUCUCAAAGCUUUUUCAAUUGAAACCUUUAACAUGAGAAUAACUAAAAAUAUUUUCAUAGAAUAUAAGGCCUUUAUAAAGUGAGAAUGAUGAUUUAAAAGUAUAUGAAAAUUAUUUUGAGCUUUUAAAAUAUUAAUCAAUCUUAAUCAAGUUUGUUAUCAUCAAAAUCAAUAAUAAAGAAAUAUUUAUGUUAACAACGAGAAGAUACAAUUGAUCCGAGAUAGAUUAAAGGUGGCCCAAGAUAGACAGAAGAGUUAUGCAGACAAGCGUAGCCGGGAACUUGAAUUCGAAGUUGGUGAUAGAGUUUUCAUACGGAUAUCUCCUUGAAAAGGGGUGCUUCGAUUUGGGAAACGUUGGAAGAUAAGUCCACGUUACAUUGGGCCAUAUGAGAUCAUCAAGCGUAUCGGUCCGUUAGCUUAUCGAUUAGCUCUACCACCCAAGUUAUCCAGAAUCCACGAUGUGUUUCAUGUCUCAAUGCUCCGGAAGUACAUAUAUUACCCGAGUCAUGUGUUAUCGAAGCAACCAAUUCAGUUGAAGGAAGAUUUGACUUACGAAGAGGAACCAGUGGAGAUACUGGAAGAGAAACACCAAGUUCUGCGUUCUAAGACCAUUCCUCUAGUAAAAGUACGGUGGAGGAAUCAUAUAAAGGAAGAGGUUACCUGGGAAUGCGAGGAUUUAAUGUGAGCUCAAUAUCCCUAUCUUUUCUUAUCAGGUACGUAAAUUUCGAGGACGAAAUUUUUAUAAGGGAGGAGGAUUGUAACAUAUGUGAAUUAAAAAUGAAAUUGAGGGGGUUAAGGACUUUAUUAAAAAGAAUAGAAUAAGCUAGAAACAGGGAACAUAUACCACACGUGUGAGAGUAACAUAAGCUAUCAACAGACCCGAAAACCCGACCCAGAACCCGCGAACGUGACCCGGCCAUAUCUCUCAUUUUCGGCCACCGUUUCGGCCGAGCUUGGUACCAAUCUGAAGCUUAGAAGCCGGUCGUCGUUCCCCUGCCAUCCUCGUCACCGCAAACCAACCGGAAUGCCGGCGAUUGAAGAUUGAAAACCCACGACUGCUUCGCUUUGUUUCGCCGGGAUUUUCACCGAAUUUAGGUGACACCACCGGUUGGAUUUUGUUCCUCAUGACUCCCUCUUCCAUUUCCGACCAUCCACCACCCCCAGGGACAUCAUUUUGCCGUUGAUCGGCCGUUGAAGGACUUACGGCUUUGGGAACUCGAUCCGGAGCCAUCGCCGCGUGUGGGAGGUCAACACCGCCACCGUUGGACUCAGUGUGGCCAGAAUUUUCAGACCCGUGCUUCCCGGUCAGCGUUGACCAAAUUUCGGUGACUAGUGACUGUUGACCGACAAGGGCAUUUGGGUAAUUUCACACUAUGAGGGCAAUUUUAUAAUUUUUGAGCCUAUGGAUAUUUUAGUAAUUCCUGGAAUUGAGGAUUGGGUGUAAUUAUGAUUCCGAGGGUAAUUCGGUGAUUUACGAUUUCGGAGUAUUUUAAUGAUUUACGGACUCGAGGGCAUUUUAGUAGUUUUACCGACACGAGAGUUGUAAAUUAUGGAUAGAUGUUCGUUUCGAGUUUAUUACAUAAAUUUAGUCGUAAUUCCGAUUUACGAAAAAUAAUUGUGUCGUUUCCUUUAUUUAGGAGGAUCCGCGAGCGAGAACUGGUCCGCGGACAUGGACGAUAACCGAGCAUGAACACCGUCACUAUGAGUGGAAUAUACAAAACCUAUUUUCAUAGUUAUAUGAUAGUAAAGCAUGUUUGCGAAAUAAGUAUUUUAAAUGUUCUGAUUUAAUGAUUCCCUCGAAAUGGAUUUUAUUCAUGUAUUGGUAUUUUAUUAAAAUGUUUGGUUAAUGAUUCUGCGUAUCGACUUUGAAUAAAGUAUGAUAGUAUUUUAAAGACAAGAAAAGUGGAUUUAAAUGUGGUAUGAUUUAAAGUAUGGUUAAAAGGUAUGUGAAUAUGAGUAUAGUGAUUGUUUUUUAAAUCAUUAGACAGUACCCUUUCCUCCAGAUACAGUGAUACAGAUGAGAUGAGAGGCCUUCGGGACCCGUCUGAACACACAUAAAGGCUUUGGGCUGUGUAUUUGGGCGAUUUUGCCUUUUGGGGGCAUAUGCAUGUGGUAUGAUGAUUACAGAGAUACAGACAGAUAUUGAGAUACAGAUGAUACAGAUGAGAUGCAGGCCUUUGGGGCCCGUCUGAGUACACACAGAGGCUUUGGGCCAUGUGCUUGAGCGCUUUUGUUCUUUGGGGACUAGAUUAUGCAUGCACAGAUUUGAUGAGAUAUGAUGAGAUAUGAGAUGGUAUUUCCCUGUCUAUCCGUGUAGCUCCGGGGCGUGACAGUACCCAGAUAGUACAUCAUUGCCCGUCUGUUGAGGUCCAGAUAUGAUGAGAUUAUUUCCCCAGGUACUUGUUUAGUGAUGAUUUUCAGUCUUGUGUAUUCUAUAUGAUAUUGUGAUAUGAUUUCCAUGAUUAUUACGUAUGAUCGUUAUAUAUGCUUUUCAUGGUUAGUAAUCUGGUUUAAAUGUUAAAUGAUUUAUUACUGGUUUCUCGC